rnacentral:rRNA from 1 species
CCCUAUGGGGUGCAGCAGGCGCGGAACCUUUACAAUGCGCGAAAGCGUGAUAAGGGGAUACUCAGUGCUUAUGCCUAUGGUGUAGGCUUUUGUUGUGUGUAAAGAGCACGACGAAUAAGUGGUGGGUAAGACUGGUGCCAGCCGCCGCGGUAACACCAGCGCCACGAGUGGUCAUCGCGAUUAUUGGGCCUAAAGCGUUCGUAGCCGGCUUGGUAAAUCUUUUGUGAAAUUGUCCUGCUCAACGGGACAGCGUGCAGAAGACACUACCUAGCUCGAGACCGGGAGGGGUCAGAGGUAUUCCAUGGGGACCGGUAAAAUGGGAUAAUCCAUGGAGGACCACCGAUGGCGAAGGCAUCUGACCAGAACGGAUCUGACGGUGAGGAACGAAAGCCAGGGGAGCGAACCGGAUUAGAUACCCGAGUAGUCCUGGCCGUAAACGCUGCGAGCAAGGUGUUGCGUAUCCCACGUGGAUGCGCAGUGUCGAAACGAAGGUGAUAAGCUCGCCGCCUGGGAAGUACGGUCGCAAGACUGAAACUUUAAGGAAUUGGCGGGGGCGCACUACAAGGGGUGCGGCGUGCGGUUUAAUCUAACUCCACGCAGAGAACCUUACUAGUGGCGACGGCAAAAUGAAGGCCGUGCUAAAGACACUGCCCGAUGAGCCGAGAAGUAGUGCAUGGCC